AGGGCACCACCAGGAGUGGAGCCUGCGGCUUAAUUUGACUCAACACGGGAAAACUCACCCGGCCCGGACACUGGAAGGAUUGACAGAUUGAGAGCUCUUUCUUGAUUCAGUGGGUGGUGGUGCAUGGCCGUUCUUAGUUGGUGGAGUGAUUUGUCUGGUUAAUUCCGAUAACGAACGAGACUCUAGCCUACUAAAUAGAUCGUCGGCUUACAAACGCCGGCGAGACUUCUUAGAGGGACAGGCGGCGAUUCAACCGCACGAAACAGAGCAAUAACAGGUCUGUGAUGCCCUUAGAUGUCCGGGGCCGCACGCGCGCUACACUGAAGUGAUCAGCGUGCUUUUUCAACCUACUCUGUCAAGAGUGGGGAACCCAAUGAACCUUCUUCGUGAUUGGGAUAGGGGAUUGUAAUUGUUCCCCUUGAACGAGGAAUUCCCAGUAAGCGCGAGUCAUAAGCUCGCGUUGAUUACGUCCCUGCCCUUUGUACACACCGCCCGUCGCUACUACCGAUUGAAUGUUUU
rnacentral:rRNA from 1 species